rnacentral:rRNA from 1 species
ACGAAUGCAGCUGAAGUGGCUCCGUAUCGGGUUCAGGGGGUGUCGGCGGAUGGUUCCGGGUCCGGGCAGCUUGCGCGUCCGGGCUCGGGUGGGGCCGUCGACUUUCCCUGCACUCCCGUUGGGAGCCGGCCAACGGCGGUUGCUCGUGGCCCAGAAGGUCGGUCGGGAGGUGACUCUGCACUUGUGCAGAGAGCGUAAAGCCGUCCGUCCGGUGGUCUGCGAGCGACCGAGGAGGGUCGUGAGUCUUCACGUGUGCGGCGCAGGCCCCUCGGGGGCCGGGUCGCCUCCGUCCGCUUGGGCCCCGCGGUGGGGACUGCCUUGCAGUGUCCGCUGACGGUCAGUCUGCUCGGUCGGGGGAGUGACCACGCCCUGUGCCCCGGUUGUUGGUGCUCAAAUGGCUGCAUCCGA